ACGUAGGGUGCAAGCGUUAAUCGGAAUUACUGGGCGUAAAGCGUGCGCAGGCGGUUCGGAAAGAAAGGUGUGAAAUCCCAGGGCUUAACCUUGGAACUGCACUUUUAACUACCGGGCUAGAGUACGUCAGAGGGGGGUAGAAUUCCACGUGUAGCAGUGAAAUGCGUAGAGAUGUGGAGGAAUACCGAUGGCGAAGGCGGCUACCUGGACCAGCACUGACACUGAGGCACGAAAGCGUGGGGAGCAAACAGGA
rnacentral:rRNA from 1 species